UGGCUCAAUCGGUAGAGCGUCCGACUGCCAGUCAGACGGUCGCUGGUUCGAGUCCGGU
rfam:Ancylostoma ceylanicum strain HY135 Acey_s0148_scaf, whole genome shotgun sequence.